rnacentral:rRNA from 1 species
AUGUUCAACGACUUUAUUGCCGAUCUCGGUUUCCGUGAGAUUGAUAGGAUUGGCGCCAGGUUCACCUGGACCAAUCGGCAGGCUUCCCCGACCCAGUCCGUCCUGGACAGGGUCCUAGUUUCCCCGGAUUGGGACCUCCGUUGCCCCCUCACUUCUCUUCGCGCCAUCACCCGGAUUGGCUUUGACCAUGUCCCACUUCUUCUUUCCUCCGCCGAUGAGCGCCCGCCGAUCACCCCGCAAUUCCGGUUUGAGACCUUCUGGCUUUCCCAAACCGGGUUCAUGGAGGCCGUCGGCGCACGCUGGGUGGAGGCCAGCGCUCAACCUCACCCCUGUCCCCCCUCGGCCAUUGAUUCAUGGCACUUCUGUGCCAAGCGUGGCCGGCAAUUCAUGAAGGGAUGGGGCGCUAACUUGGGUCGAGACCUCCGCGAUUGUAAGAAGGCCCUGUUAGCCGCCAUUCAGGCGCUCGACUUGCGGGCGGAUGUGGUGGGGCUCUCUCCCGAUGAGUGGCUUUCUCGCUAUGACUUAGAAGAUCAUCUCCCCGUUAUUUACACUAAUGAAGAGGCCUACUGGCGCAUCUGUGGUGCCCGGAAGUGGGUUUUGAAGGGUGACGCGAACACGGCUUACUUUUAGGCGAUCGCGAAUGGCCGCCGUCGUCGCAACACCAUCCCCCUCUUGUGGGACGGUACCACCCUCCUUCAAGACCCGCGCGACAUCCGGACCCAUGUUGAUGGGUUCUAUAGGUCUUUGUUCUCUGCCGCUCCUAGGAGCGACCUCUCCCUGGCCCCUGACUGCUGGACUGGCCCACAGCUGGUCUCUGACUCGGAGAACGCGGCCCUUAUGGCCCCCUUCUCCGAGGGAGAGGUUUGGGCUGGCAUUAGGGGCAUGAACCCGACGGCCUCCCGGUUAAGUUCUUCCAGACCUUCUGGAACGUGA